GGCACUUGUGUUUUUAUUGAGUUGGUGGACAAAGACAUAAAAAUAGGUGCAAAAACUAACCCCCUUUGCAAUCCAGAAUUCAUGGUUCAUUUUGAGUUUUGAUACAUAUAAGACAUGAUACU